rnacentral:rRNA from 1 species
GACGAACGCUGGCGGCGUGGAUUAGGCAUGCAAGUCGAACGGUAUCAUCCUUUCGGGGGUGAGAGAGUGGCGAACUGGUGAGUAACACGUAGGUUAUCUACCCUCAAGACGGGGACAACCCAGGGAAACUUGGGCUAAUACCGGAUGUGAGCAACUUUUAGUUGUUUGAAAGGUGGCGUAAGCUGUCGCUUGGGGAUGAGCCUGCGUCCUAUUAGUUAGUUGGUGAGGUAACGGCUCACCUAGGCAAUGAUAGGUAGGCGGCCUUAACGGGUGGUCGCCCACACUGGGAUUGAGAUACGGCCCAGACUCCUACGGGAGGCAGCAGUCGAGAAUAGUCUACAAUGGUCGGAAGACUGAUAGUGCGACGCCGCGUGAACGAUGAAUCCCUUCGGGGUGUAAAGUUCUUUUAUAGGUGAGCAGUGCUUCUUAUAUUAACAGUAUGGGGAGAGAGAUAUUAGCAUAUGAAUAAGCAACGGCUAACUCCGUGCCAGCAGCCGCGGUAAU